rnacentral:rRNA from 1 species
UACGUAGGGGGCAAGCGUUGUCCGGAAUUAUUGGGCGUAAAGCGCUCGUAGGCGGCUUGUCACGUCGGAUGUGAAAGCCCGGGGCUUAACCCCGGGUCUGCAUUCGAUACGGGCAGGCUCGAGUUCGGUAGGGGAGACUGGAAUUCCUGGUGUAGCGGUGAAAUGCGCAGAUAUCAGGAGGAACACCGGUGGCGAAGGCGAGUCUCUGGGCCGAUACUGACGCUGAGGCACGAAAGCGUGGGGAGCGAACAGG